GUGGAUUAGAUACCCGGGUAGUCCGCACCGUAAACGAUGAUUACUCGUUGUUAGCGAUAUGACAGUUAGCGACCAAGCGAAAGCGAUAAGUAAUCCACCUGGGGAGUACGCCGGCAACGGUGAAACUCAAAGGAAUUGACGGGGGCCCGCACAAGCGGAGGAGCAUGUGGUUUAAUUCGAUGAUACGCGAGGAACCUUACCUGGGCUUGAAAGUUAGUGACCGUCUCUGAAAGGAGAUUUUCCGCAAGGACACGAAACUAGGUGCUGCACGGCCGUCGACAGCU
rnacentral:rRNA from 1 species